UACGUAGGGUGCAAGCGUUGUCCGGAAUUAUUGGGCGUAAAGAGCUCGUAGGCGGUCUGUCGCGUCGGCUGUGAAAACUCGGGGCUCAACCCCGAGCCUGCAGUCGAUACGGGCAGACUAGAGUGUGGUAGGGGAGACUGGAAUUCCUGGUGUAGCGGGUGGAAUGCGCAGAUAUCAGGAGGAACACCGAUGGCGAAGGCAGGUCUCUGGGCCAUUACUGACACUGAGAAGCGAAAGCAUGGGGAGCGAACAGGAUUA
rnacentral:rRNA from 1 species